CCAAAUUCAAUGACAUUGAUCCGAUCAUCAUCAUCAUCAUUAACAAAUACCAGGUGAAGAACAUCUUUCCGAAUGAAAACGGAUUCAAUAUAUAUGAAGAUUAAAAUGAUCACGAUCAUUAGAAACAUGCCAAGCAUCAAGCCACCAAAAAAAAAAUUACACAGCAAAGAAUGUGAAACUUUUUUUUUUGGUGAAUACAGCACACAAAUGAUAAUGACAAAUUACAAAUCACACAUCACUACUACUGUUGUUGUUACAUUAGGUUGUUCACCAUCACCAUACACACACACACAGUACCAUCAUUAGGUGAUCACGAUCUUUUUGUUUUGGUGGUGCUGGUAGUUGCUACCGAUCAUCAUAUGAAUCGGCACAUUAAAAGAUAUGGGCGGUCGGUAUUGGCGACAGCAGAAGGUGUGGCAAUGUGGAACCGAAACAAAAAAAAAUUCCUUGGAUCAAAUAACCGAAUCAAUCGAAUACAUAUUAUUCAGGUCACAAGAAUGGAAAAAUCACGAUUUUAGAAACCAGAUUCAAAUUUCUUUGGAAUUCUAAAAGAAAAUUUUUCAAUGUUCAUCUACAAAAAAAACCACAGCCCUUAUAAUCGCACCUUAUGUAUUUUUGUGGUGAUUGAUGUGUACGUCUAUGACCACCACCACCAUCAUUAUCAUCAUGUCAUUGUAUGACAUUCAUGCAGAGAGAUUUACAAAUGUUUUUUUUUCUUAUUCGUUCGUUCUCAAGAAAAUUUAAAUCCGGAUUUUCACUAUUAUCGACAACAAACCAUUCAAUGAUUAUUUGUAUAUGUUUUUCUUUUCUGACGACCACCAAUGUGUUUCAAACAAACCAAACAAACAGACAAAAAAUUACCAUUGUUUUUGUUUUUUGCUCUAUUUUAUUGUUACUCUCGCCCAGUCAACAACAAAAAAAAAUCCUAAUCGAUCAUCAUCGAAAAUCUGCAUAUAUUCUGGAGUAUAAGGGAAUUGUGAUUGUCAAAUUGAAUUUCCACACCCAUCUCGUUCAUUACAGCAACAACAACAACAACAACAACAAAAUUGAU